CAAAAGGAUUGCUAUAAAUUUCAUUGGUUCCAAUCUUCUGAUAUUUCAGCAUUUAUUAAAUUUGUUCUUUAAACUACUAACGGAAAAAGUUGUACAAUCUUUUCAUAUUUUUUAUGGCUCUAUAUAUAUUGAAAAAACUAUACUACACAAUUACAAAUAACUUCAUUGAUCAUUUUCUCUUCAGUUGGUCAGAAAUUCUCGAUUUAUUUGAUAAGAACUAUCUGCUUAUUUUGGGAGUUUUGCUCAAUAGAAGGUUCAGAAGCGCGAGAUCCAGAGCACCCUUAGCAGUACAGUCUCAGUCAGCAGCACUAGACGUAGCAGUGAGUCCUCAUCAUUCGAGGAUGCUUCUUAUUUCAAUAUUACAUUAGAUUCAGUUUAUUCUCAGUAGAUGGAGUUAGUUGGGGACAUGUCCCAUCAACUCUAUAGUUCAGACAAUUUAGAGGCUUUUUAGACAGAUGUAUCAUUAUUCAGUUUUUCAGCAUUGAGUAUUUUAGACGUUUUGAA